AGAUUUCACUUGGAUCAUCGUGUUGUUUGUGGUAUUAGCCUUUAUUUGUCUUGCUGUCAUCACCGUCCUGCUUCUACGAAAACCCUGGAAGAGUUCGUCCCACAAAGACUCUGAGGCGACUAAGACACCACAAAAACCAACCGAACACCCUCACGAGCCCAAAACACCUUUAAUGCAGCAGGUAAACGAGAACCUAAGGCAACGGUCUACUGAGAAACAUCAUAAAGGGAACGACACUGAAACAUCAUCUCCGUGCGUAAAGCGUUUGUUUUCAUCAAAUUAAAGUUUAGCGACAGAAUCCUACAAGACAAAUUAGUCAAAAUCUGGUGACAUUUGUAACAAACUUACGCUGAAUGUAUAACCUCCAUCUUCCAGAACAA